UAGGGAAUCUUCCGCAAUGGACGAAAGUCUGACGGAGCAACGCCGCGUGAGCGAUGAAGGCCUUCGGGUCGUAAAGCUCUGUUGUCAGGGAAGAACAAGUAUCGGAGUAACUGCCGGUACCUUGACGGUACCUGACCAGAAAGCCACGGCUAACUACGUG
rnacentral:rRNA from 1 species